AUGUCAAAACACUCUCUUUCUAUUAUUAUUUCGUUCGCUCACCGGCACCGCGUCGCCUUCCGCAACAGUGCAACUCCGGGAGAGAGCGGCGGUGCGUCCGCCCAGGUCGAUUCUCGGCCGGUCUCUAUUCUAUGGCACAAUGUGGUUUUGACGUCUCCUCCUCUUGGCGAGCGACCUGCGGAGUGCGGACCCGGCGUGAUGGCAGCAUCCUCACCAAUAAUUCAUUUGCUGCAGCAGCAGCGCCUGCUGGCUGCUGCUCAUGAAACCAUCUUGGCUUUGGACAUUGGUCCAGUCGACCGUGAUACCGAGAAGAAGAAACUAAGUCUAAUAUACUGUAUAUGGUACUAG
rnacentral:rRNA from 1 species